rnacentral:rRNA from 1 species
UUGGAGGGCAAGUCUGGUGCCAGCAGCCGCGGUAAUUCCAGCUCCAAUAGCGUAUAUUAAAGUUGUUGCAGUUAAAAAGCUCGUAGUUGAAUUUCGGGGUUAGUAGGUUGGUCAUGCCUCUGGUAUGUACUGGUCUCACUGAUUCCUCCUUCCUGAUGAAUCUUAAUGCCAUUAAUUUGGUGUUUUGGGGAAUUUGGACUGUUACUUUGAAAAAAUUAGAGUGUUUAAAGCAAGCUAACGCUUGAAUACAUUAGCAUGGAAUAAUGAAAUAGGACGUUCGAUCCUAUUUUGUUGGUUUCUAGGAUUGACGUAAUGAUUAAUAGGGACAGUUGGGGGCAUUAGUAUUCAAUUGUCAGAGUUGAAAUUCUUGGAUUUAUUGAAGACUAACUACUGCGAAAGCAUUUGCCAAGGAUGUUUUCAUUAAUCAAGAACGAAAGUUAGGGGAUCGAAGACGAUCAGAUACCGUCGUAGUCUUAACCAUAAACUAUGCCGACUAGGGAUCGGAUGAUGUUAAUUUUUUAAUGACUCAUUCGGCGCCUUACGGGAAAC